GAUGAAGAACGUAGCGAAAUGCGAUAAGUAGUGUGAAUUGCAGAAUUCAGUGAAUCAUCGAAUCUUUGAACGCACAUUGCGCCUCCUGGUAUUCCGGGAGGCAUGCCUGUUCGAGCGUCAUUAAAAUCACUCAAGCUUAGGUUUACCUAUUGCUUGGUCUUGGAGAUGGAAGCCAAUUUAUUGGAAUCCUCUUCGAAAUUCAAUGGCGAAGACCCUUGCUCUCCCAAGUGUAGUAAUAACUUAUGUCACUGAAGGAAGCGAGAAAUCUUCUGCCGUAACCCCCAUAUUUUCUAUGAUUGACCUCGGAUCAAGUAGGGAUACCCGCUGAACUUAAGCAUAUCAAUAAGCGGAGGA
rnacentral:misc_RNA from 1 species